UCUUGGUCAUUUAGAGGAAGUAAAAGUCGUAACAAGGUUUCCGUAGGUGAACCUGCGGAAGGAUCAUUAAUGAAUUAAAUUCUGUCGAGUUGUUGCUGGUUUCAAAAUGAAACAAGUGCACGCUUGACUCAAUUUAUUAACCACCUGUGAACCUUUGUAGAUUUGGAUAAUGCUCGAGUUCAAACAACUCGGAUAGAGGGAUUGCUUAUGGCUUUUCUUCAAUUUCCAAGUCUAUGUCUUCUAUAUACUCUUGAUUUAAAUGUAUGUCAGUUGGGGUGAUAAUCUAUAAAAUACAACUUUCAACAACGGAUCUCUUGGCUCUCGCAUCGAUGAAGAACGCAGCGAAAUGCGAUAAGUAAUGUGAAUUGCAGAAUUCAGUGAAUCAUCGAAUCUUUGAACGCACCUUGCGCUCCUUGGUAUUCCGAGGAGCAUGCCUGUUUGAGUGUCAUGAAAUUCUCAAACCAUUUCAAUUUACUUUUGAAAUGGCUUUGGAUUUGGGAUUUGCUGGUGUUUCAAUCUAUCAGCUAUCCUUAAAUGUAUUAGCAGGACUUGUUUUUCAGCAAUUGGUGUGAUAAUUGUCUACGCCAUUUGUUUUGUUAAAGCAGUCAAGUCAAGCUUCUAAUGACCCAGUAUUCAUUUGACAAAUUUGACCUCAAAUCAGGUAGGACUACCCGCUGAACUUAAGCAUAUCAUA
rnacentral:rRNA from 1 species